rnacentral:rRNA from 1 species
CAGCAGUGGGGAAUAUUGCACAAUGGGCGCAAGCCUGAUGCAGCGACGCCGCGUGGGGGAUGACGGCUUUCGGGUUGUAAACCUCUUUCGUCGGGGGACAAGGCUCUGCUUGGUGGUGGGGUUGAGGGUACCCGGUGAAGAAGCGCCGGCUAACUACGUGCCAGCAGCCGCGGUAAUACGUAGGGCGCGAGCGUUGUCCGGAAUUAUUGGGCGUAAAGGGCUCGUAGGCGGCUUGUCGCGUCUGCUGUGAAAAUGCGGGGCUUAACUCCGUACGUGCAGUGGGUACGGGCAGGCUAGAGUGCGGUAGGGGUGACUGGAAUUCCUGGUGUAGCGGUGGAAUGCGCAGAUAUCAGGAGGAACACCGAUGGCGAAGGCAGGUCACUGGGCUGUUACUGACGCUGAGGAGCGAAAGCGUGGGGAGCGAACAGGAUUAGAUACCCUGGUAGUCCAUGCUGUAAACGGUGGGCGUUAGGUGUGGGGACCGGUUUGGUUUCUGUGCCGUAGCUAACGCAUUAAGCGCCCCGCCUGGGGAGUACGGCCGCAAGGCUAAAACUCAAAGGAAUUGACGGGGGCCCGCACAAGCGGCGGAGCAUGCGGAUUAAUUCGAUGCAACGCGAAGAACCUUACCAAGGCUUGACAUAUACUGGACUGCGUCAGAGAUGGCGUUUCCCUUCGGGGCUGGUAUACAGGUGGUGCAUGGUUGUCGUCAGCUCGUGUCGUGAGAUGUUGGGUUAAGUCCCGCAACGAGCGCAACCCUUGUCCCGUGUUGCCAGCACGUUGUGGUGGGGACUCGCGGGAGACUGCCGGGGUCAACUCGGAGGAAGGUGGGGAUGACGUCAAAUCAUCAUGCCCCUUAUGUCUUGGGCUUCACGCAUGCUACAAUGGCCGGUACAGAGGGUUGCGAUACUGUGAGGUGGAGCUAAUCCCUUAAAGCCGGUCUCAGUUCGGAUUGGGGUCUGCAACUCGACCCCAUGAAGGUGGAGUCGCUAGUAAUCGCAGAUCAGCAACGCUGCGGUGAAUACGUUCUCGGGCCUUGUACACACCGCCCGUCACGUCACGAAAGUUGGCAACACCCGAAGCUCGUGGCCUAACCCGUGUGGGGGGAGCGGUCGAAGGUGGGGUUGGCGAUUGGGACGAAGUCGUAACAAGGUAGCCGUACCGGAAGGGGCGGCUG